GACGAACGCUGGCGGCGUGCUUAACACAUGCAAGUCGAACGGAAAGGCCCUGCUUUUGCGGGGUGCUCGAGUGGCGAACGGGUGAGUAAAACGUGAGUAACCUGCCCUUGACUUUGGGAUAACUUCAGGAAACUGGGGCUAAUACCGGAUAGGAGCUCCUGCUGCAUGGUGGGGGAUGGAAAGAUUCGGCGGUUGGGGAAGGACUCGCGGCUUAUCAGCUUGUUGGUGGGGUAGUGGCUUACCAAGGCUUUGACGGGUAGCCGGCCUGGGAGGGUGACCGGCCACAUUGGGACUGAGGUACGGCCCAGACUCCUACGUGAGGCAGCAGUGGGGAAUAUUGCGCAAUGGGCGGAAGCCUGAUGCAGCAACGCCGCGUGCGUGAUGACGGCCUUCGGGUUGUAAACCGCUUUCGCCUGUGACGAAGCGUGAGUGACGGUAAUGGGUAAGGAAGCACCGGCUAACUACGUG
rnacentral:rRNA from 1 species